UACGUAGGUGGCGAGCGUUGUCCGGAAUUACUGGGCGUAAAGAGCGCGCAGGCGGCUGGUCAAGUCCGACGUGAAAUCUCCCGGCUUAACUGGGAAAUUGCAUCGGAAACUGAUCGGCUUGAAGGUGGGAGAGGGUAGCGGAAUUCCCGGUGUAGUGGUGAAAUGCGUAGAUACUGGGAGGAACACCAGUGGCGAAGGCGGCUACCUGGACCGGAUUCUGACGCUGAGGCGCGAAAGCGUGGGUAGCAAACAGG
rnacentral:rRNA from 1 species